rnacentral:rRNA from 1 species
AUUGAACGCUGGCGGCAUGCCUUACACAUGCAAGUCGAACGGUAACAGGUCUUCGGAUGCUGACGAGUGGCGAACGGGUGAGUAAUACAUCGGAACGUGCCCGAUCGUGGGGGAUAACGAGGCGAAAGCUUUGCUAAUACCACAUACGAUCUACGGAUGAAAGCGGGGGAUCUUCGGACCUCGCGCGGACGGAGCGGCCGAUGGCAGAUUAGGUAGUUGGUGGGAUAAAAGCUUACCAAGCCGACGAUCUGUAGCUGGUCCGAGAGGAUGAUCAGCCACACUGGGACUGAGACACGGCCCAGACUCCUACGGGAGGCAGCAGUGGGGAAUGUUGGACAAUGGGCGAAAGCCUGGUCCAGCCAUGCCGCGUGCAGGAUGAAGGCCUUCGGGUUGUAAACUGCUUUUGUACGGAACGAAAAGCCUCUUUCUAAUAAAGAGGGGUCAUGACGGUACCGUAAGAAUAAGCACCGGCUAACUACGUG